AGAGUUUGAUCAUGGCUCAGAGCGAACGCUGGCGGCAGGCCUAAUACAUGCAAGUCGAGCGGUCCCUUCGGGGGCAGCGGCGGACGGGUGAGUAACGCGUGGGAACGUGCCCUUUGGUACGGACAACUGAGGGAAACUUCAGCUAAUACCGUAUGUGCCCUUCGGGGGAAAGAUUUAUCGCCAUUGGAGCGGCCCGCGUUAGAUUAGCUAGUUGGUGGGGUAAUGGCCUACCAAGGCGACGAUCUAUAGCUGGUCUGAGAGGAUGAUCAGCCACACUGGGACUGAGACACGGCCCAGACUCCUACGGGAGGCAGCAGUAGGGAAUCUUGCGCAAUGGGCGAAAGCCUGACGCAGCCAUGCCGCGUGAAUGAUGAAGGUCUUAGGAUUGUAAAAUUCUUUCACCGGGGACGAUAAUGACGGUACCCGGAGAAGAAGCCCCGGCUAACUUCGUGCCAGCAGCCGCGGUAAUACGAAGGGGGCUAGCGUUGCUCGGAAUUACUGGGCGUAAAGGGCGCGUAGGCGGACAGUUUAGUCAGAGGUGAAAGCCCAGGGCUCAACCUUGGAAUUGCCUUUGAUACUGGCUGUCUUGAGUACGGGAGAGGUGUGUGGAACUCCGAGUGUAGAGGUGAAAUUCGUAGAUAUUCGGAAGAACACCGGUGGCGAAGGCGACACACUGGCCCGUUACUGACGCUGAGGCGCGAAAGCGUGGGGAGCAAACAGGAUUAGAUACCCUAGUAGUCC
rnacentral:rRNA from 1 species